AUACUUCAGCGUGUAGUAGGUAUUGCCUAGAUUUUUACUAUUUGGAUGAUGUUUGUAACUUUUGGGGAAAUUCAAGUUUUAUAAGUUGGUUCGCCUGGCGAUGCCGGCAUCCGGCUGGCGUGUUGGUCAUUUCGGCAACCGCAGCGGUCCGGCACUUAGUUUUCGGCUUUUGAUAAGGCAACAGUUCAAUCUCCGCCGGUGGCCAUUGCAUAAGAAAUAGAAAUUUGGUUGACAUAUUAAUUUAUAAGAAGAGUAAUUUACGUUGGAGGAAGUUUUGUUUUGGUUUUGUAGUGUGGAGUGUUUUAAGAGAAGAGUUUUUAUUUUUCAACUCCGUUUUUGGAAAGCAAUGGCCACUGGUGGAGAAGGAAAGUAGAAGAUUAAGUCAAGUCACAGCUUUUGUUUUUUUGGAAAUGGAAUAAAAUAAUUUUGGGAAAUUUUGGGCGAUUUUGUUACUUUUAUGGAAUAUAUGUUGAUUUGCCAGUCAUAGAAGCGUACCUCCUUGUGGAUGACAGUACCCCCCAGGUUUGGGGAAGAUUGGAGGAUAACUUGGAUCUCCAACCAUUCAUCUAGCAGGAUUUUGGAGAAGAAACCAGCUCUCACUUGUAGAAGCAACAGGUUUUAUAGUAAAAUUUACGUUUUCAAUUUUUGUUCAAUAAUAUCUUUCAACUUUAAUAGUUUUAAUAACUUUGAAAUAAAUAACUUUAAUAAUAAUAUAAACUCACUUUGCUAAAAUUUAAUAA